ensembl:lncRNA
CAACUUUUUUCAAAAUCACUUCCUAUUUCAAUACUUUUUAAAAAAUGUUUUAGUAAUAGAAGACAUAUUAUUAAAAAAAUUAGCUAAUACGUUAAAUGAAGAUAUUAUUUUUAAAGAAAAAAAAAUAACAAGUUUUUUAACUAAUUGGAAGCAGUGUUACAGUUAUAUAAAAAAAAAAAUUGAAUGUAAAAGGAUUUGAUAAAAAAAGUACCAUAUAUGAAAACUCAGUUUUAUUAUUUAAUUCAACCAAGUUUGCUUACGAUGAUAAAAACUGUUGUGAUUACUUUUAUAAUUUAGAUGUAUGGGAUAUUCUUUUUAAUUAUGUUACUUUCGAUUUAUUGAGUUAUUUGUUAUGUAAUACAUUACUAUUUGUAUCUGAUUUUUUUUUUUUGUAUCCAGAAAACAUAAAAAAUAGAAAUGUCCCAUCUGUUACUGCUAAUGGUAACAACCAUCGCGAUGAUACCAUUACGAAUCAUACUGCUAUCAAUCAUCUCGUAGAUAACUCCUUUUUUGUAUUAAUAGGACGUAUACAAAUAAAAUGUAAAAAUAAAAGCGAAGUAGAGAAAAAUGUUUGGUUUAAUAAAAAAAGACUAUUUUAUAAUACCAGACUAAUCAAAACCAUUUAUCAAAAAAAUGUUGGAAGUAUAGAAAAUGGACCUGCUAAAAAAAAAAGGGGUUGUGCUAGUAUAUGCACAGUAAAUAGAGAGUCAAAUAGUGAGUGCGAUAGAGACAAUAGUGAAAAAUCAAUGGAAGGUAAUGUAAAAAAGGUACACACUACUGGUUCUGACACAGAUACAUUAACACAUACAACAGCACACAAUAGAAUAAACUCAAUUACUACAUCUAGAACAAAAGUUAAAAAAAUAUUGCUAAAAAGGUAUAGACACUUAUUAAAAAAAAAUAAAAAAAAAGAAAUUCCAAAUCAUCACGAUCACGUUUCUUACAUAAAACGUUUAUAUCUUAUUCAAUGUAGUGGAAGAAUAUUAAAAAAUGAAGUUUUGAAAGAAAUGGAAGAAAUACAAAAGGAAAAAUAUUUAAUAAAAAAUGGUGGUGAUGGUGGUGGUGGUGAUGGUAAUGGUGGUAGUAAUAGUAGUGGUAAUGGUAGUGGUAAUAGUAGUGGUAAUAGUAGUGGUAAUGGUAGUGGUAAUGGUAGUGGUAAUGGUGAUGAAUUAGAACGUACUGAAAGAACAGGCACGGGUACAUAUCGUAAAGAGGUGGCCAAAAAANUAGAAUCAUCAAAUGUGAAAACGAAGGCAGUAGAUGCUACUAAACCAGACGGAACAAAUAUAGAAAGACUUAAAGAAAUAGAAUUCUUUGCGAGUAAUGAAAGAUCAAACAAACAAAAUACUAACUAUGAAUUAAACAACAAAAACAAUCGUUGUUCUUAUCAAAAUAUAACUACAACAAUAAAUAAAAAAUUAAAAAGCAAAGAUUAUUAUAAAAAAAAAUGGAGUAAAAUUAUAAUCAAUCGAAAUAAUAUUUUACAACACAAUACAACUAAUAAAGAUAAAGACUUUUUAUUUAAAAAACAUAUAAUUUUUAAUGUAUUAGAAAAUGUACCAUUAUUUGUUUAUGAGUUGUUAAACUAUAUUUUAAAAUGUGAUAUUAAUUCUUUUUUACAUACUAAUUUUAUAGGUCAAUAUAGAAAAAAAAUAAACAAACAAAUAAAAUGUAAUACUAUAAAAAAUGACAUUUUUUCUAAUUUCUUAUCAAAAGUCGAGAGUAAUAAUAGUGAUAACAUAAAUCAUGAUAAAACAAUUACAACUAGCGCACCACAACGAAAAAGUCACAACCACGGUAGUAACAAACGAGAAAACAUUUAUCUACGUUUGAGAAAAACAAAGAUUAUUAAAUAUAUGUACCCACAUUUUAAAGAUUUUAUUCAGAAUGUGAAAGAUACAAAUUUCAAAAAAAUUUAUAAAAAAAAUUUCCCUCCAAAUAAACUAAAAAAUAAACUAAAAAAAAUGCUUACAACUAUUAAAUGUAUGAUUAUUAAAAAAUAUAAAAUAGUAAAUGUAAGAAAGAAUCGUAAAUUUAUUAAACAAGAAAUAUAUGAAUGUUUUUUUAAAAAUUUUUAUUUUAUUCAAUUUUCAUUAAAAACUUAUAAAAUUAUUAAUUUUUUUGUUUAUGUAAUUAAAAAAUGUGUACCUAUUAAACUGUUAGGAAAUAAACAUAAUUUUAACGUAUUCUUAAAGAAUGUCAAAAAAUUUAUAAUAUUUAAUUACAAAGAAACAUUUUCUAUGGAUCAGAUAAUGAAACAUAUACGGGUUAAGUCCAUUUUUAAACCAAGUUGUCAUAAUACGAACAUACGUACAAAUAUCAAUACGUCUCUUACCACGGACGUAUCAACUUCAUUGGCUACAGGACAAGCUACAGAAAAUGGUAGAGAAAAUGGUACAAAACAUGGUACAGAACAUG